rnacentral:rRNA from 1 species
CCUACGGGUGGCAGCAGUGGGGAAUAUUGGACAAUGGGCGAACGCCUGAUCCAGCCAUGCCGCGUGUGUGAAGAAGGCCUUCGGGUUGUAAAGCACUUUCAGUGGGGAAGAAAGCCUUGGGGCUAAUACCCUCGAGGAAGGACAUCACCCACAGAAGAAGCACCGGCUAACUCCGUGCCAGCAGCCGCGGUAAUACGGAGGGUGCGAGCGUUAAUCGGAAUUACUGGGCGUAAAGCGCGCGUAGGCGGUCUGAUAAGCCGGUUGUGAAAGCCCCGGGCUCAACCUGGGAACGGCAUCCGGAACUGUCAGGCUAGAGUGCAGGAGAGGAAGGUAGAAUUCCCGGUGUAGCGGUGAAAUGCGUAGAGAGCGGGAGGAAUACCAGUGGCGAAGGCGGCCUUCUGGACUGACACUGACGCUGAGGUGCGAAAGCGUGGGUAGCAAACAGGAUUAGAUACCCGAGUAGUC